GCUGUGACUAAGCCGACGCUGCUGAGGAGGAAAGCCUAAUCAGUCAUCCGCGUUCCGUCUCAUUCACUGAGCAGAAUGUGUUACGUAAAGUCACAAACAUUUGAAUUAUCCUCAUCUCGGUGGUUCGCUCUUUGGUUUCGGAUCAAACUGGGCAGGAGGUUUGUUUGUUCCUUGACAGCGUUCUGCGCCGCGCGGAUACUUGGAGAUUCUUCCUUCGCAUUCGCACAAGCGUGCAACAUGAAAAUUGUAGAAACAAAGGGGUGAGAAAAGAUGACGCGACCCCCGUGAACUUCAUCUUCCAACCGUCCAAAGAAAGACGAACGCGUUUUCUGAGGCAUAAUUGCAACCAGACGGCGGCUCAUUUCAACAGCAUGUCCGCUCUUUAUUUAAAACGAGCUCCAGUCCGUCCAUUUUAAAUGGGGCAAACGGAGCAGAGUGCGAUUCAAGCCUUUCGCCUCGGCAGAGCGGCUGUUUGGGCAGAUAUUAGCUCCUUUUAGUACGCUGACCACUCCACCAAAACCCGAUGAUACAAAAGUCUGAAAAUUGGAUAUGGUCACUGGGGAAUAAGGGGACGGGAGGAAAUCAGAAUUACUCCUCAUUUGUGUGUGAUUUACAUUUUUUCAAUUGGUCUUUUGAAAAAGACCAGCGCUGGACUCAAAUAAGAAGAUUAAAAAGCAAAUACAGUUUUGUCAAACCAGGCGGCUCGGGUGAGAGCCGUUCAGUUUCACGUCAGCUUUAAGUCGGAGAUUUGCUGUCAGGUUGCUACUGUAGCUUACUGGGGGAUUUAAGUGGCUUUUUGGCAAGGGCCCUUUUAACAAAACGCGCUGUGCGUUAUUUCAACAUUAAAGUGGGAGAUGUGAGGAAAAGAAAGUGGGAUCGGAACAUUAUUCUUGGGUCAUCGCGUAUAUGUUUUACCCUGUAAUACAUCCUCUAAAACCAGGAAAACACAACACUUUGCCGUAUUCAAGAUCUAGUUUAAAACGUAGUAACACAACAGAUGGUGUGUAAAUAUUUGUACCAGCUCUGUGGCAACAUUCACGCCAACCCGUGUUUUCAGCAGCUUUAAAUGUGAUAAAUAAUUCAGCUGGAAAAACAUCGAGGACGGACAAGUUCCAUUUUCACUGAUUUCACUACAAACCCAGCCGAGGCCAACGGGUGUUUUCUGUUCAUCUCACUGGAUGAGACAAAUAGAUCGUGAACUUCAGGCCGACUCGCCUGCUGUGUCCACUCGCCCGGCAAGCAGCAGUGCUGUCUUUAUCAAUCUCCACGUGUUUACAAUGUCCGCGCUCUGGACCUUCUGCAGGGGAAGGCCAGUCGGAUGGAUCCACAGCUCAGGGCAGCCGUGCUGAAGGCGGUCGGGGACCGGACUACCCAGUCGUCCGGUCGUCAGCUGACCCACGUCCCUCAAGUCAAUUUCCCGCCAUGAGCUCCGGUCUCACCGAAUCCCAAUGAGUUGACAAACGGCGAGACCGACCUGUGAGGUCUCUUGCAAAUCAGCCUGUUAUCAGAUGAGCAUGAUUUGCACGCGUUAUGGUGUCCCUGAAUUUUUUAUUGAUGCUGUCAAGUAAGACGACUUUGCAGUGCAUGUUUGUGCAAAGUGCUUCCUGUUCGUUUUGCUUUGAAAGCUUUAUUUAGUGUGUCACUUGAGGCAUGAAGACAAAAUUCUGCCUUGAGUCAGGACAUCUGUCUUACACAACAAAACAGAUAUUCCAUGUUUUUUAAAGGGCUUUGGUGAGAAGGAGAAAAAUACAAAAGCUCAUAAGUAAAUAUAGCGCAGGCAGGAGAUAAGUGCCGGGGCAGAUACGAGUCUUACCACGAGUUCUACCGAGGUAAAUCGAAAACAAACUUUAGCGGAGAUCCUUUCUUUCCUGCCGCUGCGUCGUGAUGGCAAAGCUCCGAUAGGCGGUUGACAGCUGAAGACAUUCUGGCUUUGUUUGUUUCUGCAAAGCCACCAUGUUACAUGAAUUGUUUUCCCUCCGCACAGAUUUCUGUGGAUGGCGGUUCCAUCUGAUGGCGGUUCCAUCUGAUGGUUCCAUUCAUAGGCGGUUCCAUCUUAAGGUUACAUUCAUAGGCGGUUCCAUCUGAUGGUUCCUUUCAUAGGCGGUUCCAUCUUAAGAUUCCAUCUGAUGGCGGUUCCAUCUAAUGGUUCCAUUCAUAGGCGGUUCCAUCUUAAGAUUCCAUCUGAUGGUGGUUCCAUUCAUAGGCGGUUCCAUCUUAAGAUUCCAUCUGAUGGCGGUUCCAUCUGAUGGUUCCAUCUUAAGGUUCCAUUUGUAGGCGGUUACAUCUGAUGGUUCCAUCUUAAGAUGGAACCUUAACGUUCUAUUUGUAGGUGGUUCCAUCUGAUGGCGGUUCCAUCAGAUGGAACCUGGCCUGGCGUCACUACUGGUCCUGGCGCUCACUAUUGUCAGUAUGUGAAUCCUUCUUGUCGUAUGAAUAAAACGUUCCGUACAUCUUCCACGUGGUUCCUUCGGUACUCAUGACAUCCAUUGCAUUCUGUCCGUCCGGGGAGAGGGAUCCCUCCUCUGCCGCUCGCCCUCGCGUGUCUUCCCUUUCUUGGGGGAAGUUUUGCUCCUCCGCCGAUGUGGCAAAUUCGUAAUUCUGGGCCGAACCAAAUCAAAUAGAUGUAAUAGAAUCCGCUCCGUAUCCGGUUUGCAGAGAUGAUUCACAAGUGGCGAGCGGCAUGACAGCGUAUGUGCAGGCGACACGGAACCCCGUUGAGGAAAGGAAGGCGUGUCUUCCUGUAUGGAGGUCGUCAAAAUGUGAAAGACGGCGCGGCGUUGACGUCACGUGGUUUGUGUUUUCAACAGGGCUUAAUUGGCCCCACUUCAGAGGGACAAUGAUCCAAAGCCAAAGUUGCUUCUGAAGAUUAUAAACUGUGCGCUUGCCAUCCAGCAGACGUAAUUGGGUGCUUAAAAAGUUAAUAACUUUUGAAUAAAAGUGCUCGUCAGCUUUUUAGCACAUCACAUGUAAUCUGUGACCGGGGCUCCACGAGCACGCAUGCUAAUGACGACCAAAGGGAUUUAAUUAAACGAUUUUCCUCCCCUUACAGUUUAUUCCACUUCAAGUUUAGAAUGCAUUCCAACUUAAUUUCACAGGCGAUAUGAUUUGAAUAAUGCCUUGGCAUAAGCCAGUUUGAAUUUAAUUAAGAUAACUGUUUGUCUUCCCAAAUCAACCCACGCUCUUAGUUCAAGAUGUGUUUUGCCAUCGUGAAAGAGCAAACAGAGGAGCAUGGCCUUAGGUUACAAACUCAGGUCUGUAGUUGAGAAGGUGUCAGGAAACUUAAAUCUUGAUCCUCCCCUCGGCGAUAAUUCCAUAAUUGCAUAUUUUAGUACAAAAAAAACCUUUUAACAACUUUGAAAUUCACUAAAAAUGGGUGUUUUUUAAAUACCAUUUCUAUAAUAAACCAAAUACUAUUUAAGUACUUCAUUUGUACGUUAUUUUCAGGUGAUGUUUUAAAGAAUUUCCACACCAUGUUCCACUUUCUGCGCCGUGUUGGAUCGGUCUGCGUUGUGUGACUCAUCUGGUGUCGCACGCUGCACUAUGGAAAUAAAAAGCCAUUAUAAACGUAUCACACUGCUAAAUAUGACUGGUGCGGCUGCGCGUAGUAGAACGACAUAUUCCAUCAACCUCCGCACAAUACUCCACCUUUUCAUUUCCACAAAAACAAACAUUAAGUUGCGGUGAUGGGUCAGCAGAAUUAUGCUUUAGAGCGUACCUGGGAAAAGGCAAAUUCAAUUGCUCGGUUUGUGUGCAGCGGCGCCCAUCCCGAUGACAAACUGCCCUCAGGGGAAGUUCCACUGCAGAAUAAUUGAGUAUUAAAAAUCUAAAAUCAGAUCUCUCAAAAAUGAAAGUAGUUUUUUCUCCGUGUGUGUGUGUGUGUGUGUGUGUGUGUGUGUACGGUGAUGUGGCAGCUGUAAGUAAUUGAAAGGCGAUCCAAGGCCAUCGCGUCUAAUGCCUUUUAUAAAGUUGUAAACCAGGGUCAUUAUUUAAACACGACCACAGAGGAGAGCGCGUGGAAGCGCGUGGUUUGCGUCACGCUGGACCGAACCGCGGAGCAGAAAAGCGUCUCACGCGGCACCGACGAAAAGGUACAACGGCGAGCUGCGCUAAAUCAAGAGCUGUCGUAUGCGAUGCAACUUCCUGCACAGCGUCCAAUGGAAGCGCCCCCCCCCCUCCCCCUCCCCCCGCCCCCGAAGGCCCGUUAACGCGCCCGCGACAGGCCUCCUUGUCACCUGCGUGACAAAGCCGCACCGCAACGACAAACAGGGCCGCCGCUUUGUUCCGUAUUCAUCGGGCCGAUAAACAGCAGUAAUCACAGUAAUGAUGUCUGUUCGAGGGCGCUGGGGAGCUACGUUGGGGGGGCGGAUAAGGGGCAUGUGCAGGAGGGUUCGGGGAGGAGAAGGGUGUUGUUAAUCUGAGAGGCUUGUGUGGAGUUUAGAGGGAGGUGGGGGAGGAAGGGGGACACGGCUGCUCACGCCGAGAUAAGCCAGGACCAGCGCCGCCCCGGCCCGGUAAGGCUGGCCUCGCCGCUCCCUUCCCGGGCCAGGGUAUUGGCCUGCGUGCGAUAAGAUGCUCCCGAGCAUUGCAAAAUAGCACAGGUAUUAGCC
ensembl:lncRNA